GAUGAAGAACGAAGCGAAAUGCGAUACGUAAUGUGAAUUGCAGAAUUCAGUGAAUCAUCGAAUCUUUGAACGCAUAUUGCGCUCUCUGGUAUUCCGGAGAGCAUGCUUGUUUGAGUAUCAGUAAACACCUCAACUUCCAUAUAUUUUUUGAAAUGGGAGUUGGACUUGAGUGAUCCCAACGCUUUUCCUCACCGAAAAGUGGCGGGUUACUUGAAAUGCAGGUGCAGCUGGACUUUUCUCUGAGCUAUAAGCAUAUCUAUUUAGUCUGCCUAAAAAACAGAUUAUUACCUUUGCUGCAGCUAACAUAAACGAGAUUAGUUCUUGUGCUGACUGAUGCAGGAUUCACAAAGACAGGCUUCGGCCGACUUUGUAAACUCGAUCUCAAAUCAAGUAAGACUACCCGCUGAACUUAAGCAUAUCAAUAAGCGGAGGA
rnacentral:misc_RNA from 1 species